rnacentral:lncRNA from 1 species
CAUCCCUGGAGUCUCCCUAAAUUUACUGUGAUUCUGGGGGCUGCCCAAUUCACAAAUCAUUUAUUGCUCAAUCACACUCCUUUAAAUUCGGUUAAAGUUUUCCUUUUAACAGAUGGUGUCAGAAGCGGGGUCCAAAGUAGAGCUUCUAAUGACCCCAGGAAUGCUGAGUGAACAAGCAAGGUAGCUGCAAGGACCCUGCAAGGACCCACUUGUGUCCUUGAUUCCUCAGAGCGGCUGAGGGUUGUGGGUCAGUGGCAAUUCCAAAGACUGCUGUGCCAAACAGAACUUAAGGAAGAGAGAGAACCUAGCCAAACAACACUUUCUCUUGCUAAAGUAAGUGCUCCAGAUCACCUUUCAAAUGCAAUUACCUAAUACAACCAUGGAUUUUAAAGUACAUAGGCAGUUUUGAUGGCAGAAAGAAUGAAAUUUCCCAUUUAUGUUAGAGUUUAUUUUUAACUCAGAAAUAAAGCAGAACAUCAUAAUUGUGCAUAUUUUUUUCUACUAUAUUAUGACCAUAACAGACAGUGAAGUACAAAAUGUGAAACUACAUUCUAAUAUAAUAUAGUCAUGCUGGAUAUUUUAGACAUUGUAUAUAUUUCACACAAGAACAUAUCUAAUAUGUUGAUUUACUAUAGCCUAUACAUUUGUCAAAAAAUCAGUAUUUUAAAAUACAGCAUUUUGAUGUCAUCUUUUACAUCACAUUUUUAUAGCCUAAAAUCAUGUUAAGGUUUUGUAUUAACUCUUUUAAUGCAAGGAUUCAAGACCUUGAGCAGGAUUCUAUUGAAGAAGCUUUCUUUAAGUGAAUUUACAUUAUUGAGAUUUUAUGAUUCAAUUGUUUCACAAUUCUAAUAGUAAUCCAGUAGGAGGAAAGAUUAUGUAUGUGUACAUGUGCACACACACACAAUUUAAGACCCCACAAUAAUAUCCAUUUUUUUUUUUUUGUGUGUGUGUGUGUGUGUGUGUGUGUCUACAAUAAUAUCCAUUUCAUUUAAACCACAUGAAUUGACAAGUACUUAACUCAUUAACCUCUGCGGUACUCAGGUAGAUGUUGAAUCAGAAAUUUAAAAGGCUUUUAAAAAUACAGACAGAAAACAAAGGAUAAAUUGAUGCACUCUUAUCUCUAAAUUACAGUUUCUUUUAUGUCAAGAAGUGUUGGCAAUACCAACUUCAAGGUCACUGUCAAUUUUGAAAAUCAUUAGCAAAUAAAAUAUGACUUAAUUGAAGCAAACUCAGCAUGGAACUGCAUUAUUUUAAGUAAAUGCUAUAUUAUAAUUUGAAGAAGAAUUACUAACUGCCACUCUCACUGACAAUUAAAUAAAUGAAGAUGGGGCUAUGCAACUUUCCCCCAUGUCUUUCCAUAAUUAAAUAUGGAAAUAGAAUUUGUGAAGAAUUAAAAGGCCCAAAGUGCAAUAAUUCAAACACUAAUGAACUGUUUUCCAGUGUGGCAGCACACAGGUAGUUCCCAGCAUGUUAUCAUUAGCAAAUAUGUCAGUAUCAUCAUUCCAAUCACAAACUUUGCUUGUGAAAUACACCUCUGAAAAAUAGAUUUCUAAUAGUUACCUGGGCUCUUCUAAAAGAAGAAAGAAGCUAAACUUUAUCAUUCAAAAUGUUAUAUAAAAUAACUUUUUUGUAGAAUUUCUCUUCACAAAUUAAAUUUAGCUAAAGUUUAACAUUUGUCACUUAGAGUCUUACACAACUCUUAAUUCUGUAUUUAAGCUUUAUUAGACAGCUUCAGCAGAUGUGAUUCACCAGUUAAGAAAGAAUCACAAUAAUUACCCAUCUAUUGGAUUAUUUUCUUAAUUUUCUAUCAAUAUGCACCUCUGGAAACUAAACCCACAUAUAGUAUUAAAUAUUAUUUCAAAAAGCAAGCAAAGAGUUACCCAGAAUUAUCGAAAAUUCAGAUAAGAUUUGAAUUAACAUUAUUACAGUAUCAAUUUGGCAGUAGUUUGUGAAGAACCUGUGUUUUUCUGCAGGAGAAACAGAAGAAAAUAAAGCCUUCAGCUACUGAGCUUUGCCACGCUAUCUCUAGUUCUCUCAAAUACAAGAUGAGGAUUUCAAAAAAUAUCACAAUUCCGUUUGUAUUAAACUUUGCUGAAUCUUCUUGAAUAUUAUGAACUAUGUCUUUAACUGAUACAGAAAACUACGUUUUUAUAUGUUUUUAAAUUACAUCUAGAUUUUUAUUCCAAUAAAUAAAUAAUAAGUUGUAUUGAUUCAAUACUUAUUAAAUUAGGCCAUCAAAUAAAUUAGGUCAUCAAAUAAAUGUCUUCUUCUUCUUCCUUAUUUCUAUAAAUAAUAAUUUAGCCAGGAAGUAAUCAAGUUUUAUAUGUCUAAGUAAUGCUUAUUCAUGUGGGGAAAGGAUUUUAUACAUGCAGGGAAGCUUGGAGGCAUCAUUGUGGCCUUCUAAUAGAUGACACAUUAUUCUGAAACAAAAAAAAAAUAGCUUAAAGCAAGAAUUACAUUUUGAGAUGUAAGUUAUGAGUGAUUAGGGAAUUAUUAAGCUAAAGCCAAGAAUCUAUGACUAAUUGUGAAGAAUACUUAUUCCAAUAUGUUAGACCAUAGUUAUUUUUCUCAGGAUAUUUUAGGUAAGGAAACUGAGCACAAAGAUUAAGUAACUUGGCCAAGGACUAAUAACUAUUAAGUGGUAGAGUCAGGACACAUAACCAGGAAGUCUGGCUCCAUUACACUUCUUUGCAUAACUUGUCCGUCACCUUGGGGAGAAUAUCCUAAUAUCAAAUCAUAAGACCAUUUCACUGGAGUUUUUACAGAAUUGAACCUAUUGUUCACAUAAGAAUAUCUUACUCAAAUAUUUAAGAUACUUAAAUAUCUUAAUGAAGAUUAAUUGUCACAUUGUUAUUAAUAGGAUGAUGGGACAGUCAAGGCCUAGAAGACCAGGUAUGUCAUAGAGAGAGAGAAUGAAAUAUUCUUGAGACAAAAACUCCCAUGGCCAGAAAGAAAUGGGAAUUCUUAUGGUUAGAAAAGGAAACAUGUAACUUAUAUUAUCCUUACUUUUCAUGUUACCAGAAUUAAUCUGGUUCUUCAAAAGUUUUAUAGCAUGAAACAAUCCAUUAGUCUUAAAAUAUCUGCCUACUACUGUAUUUAAACACAAAAUGUAUUAUUUCUAGUUUGUUCCAUAAUCAAUAGGAAUUCUUCUAAAAACUUAAAAAUCAAAAAUUA